rnacentral:rRNA from 1 species
UUGACCUCGGAUCAGGUAGGGAUACCCGCUGAACUUAAGCAUAUCAAUAAGCGGAAGAUUACCGAGUGAGGACCCUCUGGGUCCAACCUCCACCAUGUUUAUUGUACCUUGUUGCUUCGGCGGGCCCGCUUUGUGGCCGCGGGGGGCUCUGCCGGGCGCCGCCGAAGA